rnacentral:rRNA from 1 species
UCGCUAGUAAUCGCAGAUCAGAAUGCUGCGGUGAAUACGUUCCCGGGCCUUGUACACACCGCCCGUCACACCAUGGGAGUCGGUAGCACCCAAAGUUGGUAGCCUAACCGCAAGGAGGGCGCCGCCUAAGGUGGGAUUGAUGACUGGGGUGAAGUCGUAACAAGGUAAC